GAUGAACGCUGGCGGCGUGCUUAACACAUGCAAGUCGAGCGAGAAGUUUUGAAAAGAUUCUUCGGAUGAAAUUUAAAAUGGAAAGCGGCGGACGGGUGAGUAACGCGUAGGCAACCUGCCCCAUACAAAGGGAUAGCAUUUGGAAACGAAUAUUAAUACCUUAUGAAACUUAACUAGUGCAUGCUAGGUAGGUCAAAGAUUUAUCGGUAUGGGAUGGGCCUGCGUCUGAUUAGCUAGUUGGUGAGGUAACGGCUCACCAAGGCGACGAUCAGUAGCCGACCUGAGAGGGUGAACGGCCACAUUGGAACUGAGACACGGUCCAAACUCCUACGGGAGGCAGCAGUGGGGAAUAUUGCACAAUGGGGGAAACCCUGAUGCAGCAAUGCCGCGUGAACGAUGAAGGCCUUUGGGUCGUAAAGUUCUGUUCUAGGUGAUGAAAACUGACAGUAACCUAGGAGAAAGCCCCGGCUAACUCCGUG
rnacentral:rRNA from 1 species